UAAUACGAAGGGGGCUAGCGUUGCUCGGAAUUACUGGGCGUAAAGGGCGCGUAGGCGGUCUGCCAAGUCAGGCGUGAAAUUCCUGGGCUCAACCUGGGGACUGCGCUUGAUACUGGCGGACUUGAGGAUGGAAGAGGCUCGUGGAAUUCCCAGUGUAGAGGUGAAAUUCGUAGAUAUUGGGAAGAACACCGGUGGCGAAGGCGGCGAGCUGGUCCAUUACUGACGCUGAGGCGCGACAGCGUGGGGAGCAAACAGGAUUAGAUACCCUGGUAGUCCACGCCGUAAACGAUGUGCGCUGGAUGUUGGGUGGCCUAGCCACUCAGUGUCGUAGCUAACGCGGUAAGCGCACCGCCUGGGGAGUACGGCCGCAAGGUUGAA
rnacentral:rRNA from 1 species